rnacentral:rRNA from 1 species
CCUACGGGUGGCAGCAGUGGGGAAUAUUGGACAAUGGGCGAAAGCCUGAUCCAGCCAUGCCGCGUGUGUGAAGAAGGCCUUCGGGUUGUAAAACACUUUCAGUGGGGAAGAAAGCCUUGGGGCUAAUACCCUCGAGGAAGGACAUCACCCACAGAAGAAGCACCGGCUAACUCCGUGCCAGCAGCCGCGGUAAUACGGAGGGUGCGAGCGUUAAUCGGAAUUACUGGGCGUAAAGCGCGCGUAGGCGGUCUGAUAAGCCGGUUGUGAAAGCCCCGGGCUCAACCUGGGAACGGCAUCCGGAACUGUCAGGCUAGAGUGCAGGAGAGGAAGGUAGAAUUCCCGGUGUAGCGGUGAAAUGCGUAGAGAUCGGGAGGAAUACCAGUGGCGAAGGCGGCCUUCUGGACUGACACUGACGCUGAGGUGCGAAAGCGUGGGUAGCAAACAGGAUUAGAUACCCGAGUAGUC